rnacentral:rRNA from 1 species
CAGCCGCCGCGGUAAUACCGGCGGCCCGAGUGGCGGCCACUAUUAUUGGGCCUAAAGCGUCCGUAGCCGGGCUGGUAAGUCCCCCGGGAAAUCUGGCGGCUUAACCGUCAGAAUUCCGGGGGAUACUGCCAGCCUAGGGACCGGGAGAGGCCGGGGGAAUUCCCGGGGUAGGGGUGAAAUCCUAUAAUCCCGGGAGGACCACCUGUGGCGAAGGCGCCCGGCUGGAACGGGUCCGACGGUGAGGGACGAAGGCCAGGGGAGCGAACCGGAUUAGAUGCCCGGGUAGUCCUGGCUGUAAACGAUGCAGGCUAGGUGUCGGGCCAGCCACGAGCUGGCCCGGUGCCGGAGGGAAGCCGUUAAGCCCGCCGCCUGGGGAGUACGGCCGCAAGGCUGAAACUUAAAGGAAUUGGCGGG